rnacentral:rRNA from 1 species
UACGUAGGGGGCAAGCGUUGUCCGGAAUCAUUGGGCGUAAAGAGCGCGUAGGCGGUCCGAUAAGUCGGUUGUGAAACUGGGGGCUCAACCCUCAGAGGCCGACCGAUACUGUCGGGCUAGAGUCCGGAAGAGGCGAGUGGAAUUCCUGGUGUAGCGGUGAAAUGCGCAGAUAUCAGGAGGAACACCAUGGCGAAGGCAGCUCGCUGGGACGGUACUGACGCUGAGGCGCGAAAGCGUGGGGAGCAAACAGG